GCUCAGUUGGCUAAGCGUCUGACUUUGGCUCAGGUCAUGAUCUCAUGGUUGGUGGGUUCGAGCCCCACACUGGGCU
rnacentral:tRNA from 1 species